rnacentral:rRNA from 1 species
AGUGAACGCUGGCGGUAGGCCUAACACAUGCAAGUCGAACGGCAGCACAGUAAGAGCUUGCUCUUACGGGUGGCGAGUGGCGGACGGGUGAGGAAUACAUCGGAAUCUACUUUUUCGUGGGGGAUAACGUAGGGAAACUUACGCUAAUACCGCAUACGACCUACGGGUGAAAGCAGGGGAUCUUCGGACCUUGCGCGAUUGAAUGCGCCGAUGUCGGAUUAGCUAGUUGGCGGGGUAAAGGCCCACCAAGGCGACGAUCCGUAGCUGGUCUGAGAGGAUGAUAAGCCACACUGGAACUGAGACACGGUCCAGACUCCUACGGGAGGCAGCAGUGGGGAAUAUUGGACAAUGGGCGCAAGCCUGAUACAGCCAUACCGCGUGGGUGAAGAAGGCCUUCGGGUUGUAAAGCCCUUUUGUUGGGAAAGAAAAGCAGCAGGUUAAUACCCCGCUGUUCUGACGGUACCCAAAGAAUAAGCACCGGCUAACUUCGUG